GACGAACGCUGGCGGCGUGCUUAACACAUGCAAGUCGAACGGAAAGGCCCUGCUUUUGUGGGGUGCUCGAGUGGCGAACGGGUGAGUAACACGUGAGUAACCUGCCCUUGACUUUGGGAUAACUUCAGGAAACUGGGGCUAAUACCGGAUAGGAGCUCCUGCUGCAGGGUGUGGGUUGGCAAGUUUCGGUGGUUGGGGAUGGACUCGCGGCUUAUCAGCUUGUUGGGGGGGUAGUGGCUUACCAAGGCUUUGACGGGUAGCCGGCCUGGGAGGGGGGCCGGCCACAUUGGGACUGAGAUACGGCCCAGACUCGAAUGGGAGGCAACGGUGGAGAAUAUUGCACAGUAGGCGGGAGCCUGAUGCAGCAACGCCGCGUGGGGGAAGACGGCCUGCGGGUUGUGAACCGCUUUCGCCUGAGACGAAGCGUGAGUGACGGUAAUGGGUGAAGAAGCACCGGCUAACUACGUG
rnacentral:rRNA from 1 species